rnacentral:tRNA from 2 species
CAGGGACUGGUCCAAUCAGAUGGGGGUGCUGGCGUUUGAGGCGCCUGUGGAGGGAAGAUAUGUGAUCACCGCCAGGGUUUGGAAUCCCUGGUCCCAGCCC